rnacentral:rRNA from 1 species
UUUGGCCUACGGGAGGCAGCAGUAGGGAAUUUUCGUCAAUGGGCGCAAGCCUGAACGAGCAAUGCCGCGUGAACGAGGAAGGUCUUCGGAUCGUAAAGUUCUGUUGAAGGGGAAAAAGAGCGGAGAGAGGAAAUGGUCUCCGAUUGAUAUUACCCUUCGAGGAAGUCACGGCUAACUACGUGCCAGCAGCCGCGGUAAUACGUAGGUGGCGAGCGUUAUCCGGAAUGAUUGGGCGUAAAGCGAGUGCAGGCGGUUCAAUAAGUCUGAUGUGAAAGCCUUCGGCUCAACCGGAGAAUUGCAUCAGA